UAUUUUAAAGAGAGUUUGAUCCUGGCUCAGGACGAACGCUGGCGGCGUGCCUAAUACAUGCAAGUCGAACGAACGGAGGAAGAGCUUGCUCUUCCAAAGUUAGUGGCGGACGGGUGAGUAACACGUGGGCAACCUGCCUGUAAGUUGGGGAUAACUCCGGGAAACCGGGGCUAAUACCGAAUGAUAAGGAGUGACGCAUGUCACUGCUUUGAAAGAUGGUUUCGGCUAUCGCUUACAGAUGGGCCCGCGGUGCAUUAGCUAGUUGGUAGGGUAAAGGCCUACCAAGGCAACGAUGCAUAGCCGACCUGAGAGGGUGAUCGGCCACACUGGGACUGAGACACGGCCCAGACUCCUACGGGAGGCAGCAGUAGGGAAUCUUCCGCAAUGGACG
rnacentral:rRNA from 1 species